GAUGAACGCUGGCGGCGUGCCUAAUACAUGCAAGUCGAGCGAACAGAUAAGGAGCUUGCUCCUUUGACGUUAGCGGCGGACGGGUGAGUAACACGUGGGUAACCUACCUAUAAGACUGGGAUAACUUCGGGAAACCGGAGCUAAUACCGGAUAACAUUUGGAACCGCAUGGUUCUAAAGUGAAAGAUGGUUUUGCUAUCACUUAUAGAUGGACCCGCGCCGUAUUAGCUAGUUGGUAAGGUAACGGCUUACCAAGGCGACGAUACGUAGCCGACCUGAGAGGGUGAUCGGCCACACUGGAACUGAGACACGGUCCAGACUCCUACGGGAGGCAGCAGUAGGGAAUCUUCCGCAAUGGGCGAAAGCCUGACGGAGCAACGCCGCGUGAGUGAUGAAGGGUUUCGGCUCGUAAAACUCUGUUAUUAGGGAAGAACAAACGUGUAAGUAACUGUGCACGUCUUGACGGUACCUAAUCAGAAAGCCACGGCUAACUACGUGCCAGCAGCCGCGGUAAUACGUAGGUGGCAAGCGUUAUCCGGAAUUAUUGGGCGUAAAGCGCGCGUAGGCGGUUUCUUAAGUCUGAUGUGAAAGCCCACGGCUCAACCGUGGAGGGUCAUUGGAAACUGGGAAACUUGAGUGCAGAAGAGGAAAGUGGAAUUCCAUGUGUAGCGGUGAAAUGCGCAGAGAUAUGGAGGAACACCAGUGGCGAAGGCGACUUUCUGGUCUGUAACUGACGCUGAUGUGCGAAAGCGUGGGGAUCAAACAGGAUUAGAUACCCUGGUAGUCCACGCCGUAAACGAUGAGUGCUAAGUGUUAGGGGGUUUCCGCCCCUUAGUGCUGCAGC
rnacentral:rRNA from 1 species